UACGUAGGGUGCGAGCGUUAAUCGGAAUUACUGGGCGUAAAGCGUGCGCAGGCGGUUCGUUGUGUCGGCGGUGAAAGCCCCGGGCUCAACCUGGGAAUGGCCGUUGAAACUGGCGAACUGGAGUGUGGCAGAGGGGGGUGGAAUUCCGCGUGUAGCAGUGAAAUGCGUAGAGAUGUGGAGGAACACCGAUGGCGAAGGCAGCCCCCUGGGUCAAGAUUGACGCUCAUGCACGAAAGCGUGGGGAGCAAACAGG
rnacentral:rRNA from 1 species